GUAGGUGGCAAGCGUUGUCCGGAAUUAUUGGGCGUAAAGCGCGCGCAGGCGGUCCUUUAAGUCUGAUGUGAAAGCCCACGGGCUCAACCGUGGAGGGUCAUUGGAAACUGGGGGACUUGAGUACAGAAGAGGAAAGCGGAAUUCCAAGUGUAGCGGUGAAAUGCGUAGAGAUUUGGAGGAACACCAGUGGCGAAGGCGGCUUUCUGGUCUGUAACUGACGCUGAGGCGCGAAAGCGUGGGGAGCAAACAGGAUUAGAUACCCUGGUAGUCCACGCCGUAAACGAUGAGUGCUAAGUGUUAGGGGGUUUCCGCCCCUUAGUGCUGCAGCUAACGCAUUAAGCACUCCGCCUGGGGAGUACGGCCGCAAAGGCUGA
rnacentral:rRNA from 1 species